CGGGUGAGUAAUGCCUAGGAAUCUGCCUGGUAGUGGGGGACAACGUUUCGAAAGGAACGCUAAUACCGCAUACGUCCUACGGGAGAAAGCAGGGGACCUUCGGGCCUUGCGCUAUCAGAUGAGCCUAGGUCGGAUUAGCUAGUUGGUGAGGUAAUGGCUCACCAAGGCGACGAUCCGUAACUGGUCUGAGAGGAUGAUCAGUCACACUGGAACUGAGACACGGUCCAGACUCCUAGGGAGGCAGCAGCU
rnacentral:rRNA from 1 species